UACGUAGGGUGCGAGCGUUGUCCGGAAUUACUGGGCGUAAAGAGCUCGUAGGUGGUUUGUCGCGUUGUCCGUGAAAACUCACAGCUUAACUGUGGGCGUGCGGGCGAUACGGGCAGACUGGAGUACUGCAGGGGAGACUGGAAUUCCUGGUGUAGGCGGUGGAAUGCGCAGAUAUCAGGAGGAACACCGGUGGCGAAGGCGGGUCUCUGGGCAGUAACUGACGCUGAGGAGCGAAAGCGUGGGGAGCGAACAGG
rnacentral:rRNA from 1 species